rnacentral:rRNA from 1 species
AGAGUUUGAUCAUGGCUCAGGACGAACGCUGGCGGCGUGCUUAACACAUGCAAGUCGAACGGAAAGGCCCUGCUUGCAGGGUACUCGAGUGGCGAACGGGUGAGUAACACGUGGGUGAUCUGCCCUGCACUUCGGGAUAAGCUUGGGAAACUGGGUCUAAUACCGGAUAGGAGCCAUCUUUAGUGUGGUGGUUGGAAAGUUUUUUCGGUGUAGGAUGAGCUCGCGGCCUAUCAGCUUGUUGGUGGGGUAAUGGCCUACCAAGGCGGCGACGGGUAGCCGGCCUGAGAGGGUGUACGGCCACAUUGGGACUGAGAUACGGCCCAGACUCCUACGGGAGGCAGCAGUGGGGAAUAUUGCACAAUGGGCGCAAGCCUGAUGCAGCGACGCCGCGUGGGGGAUGAAGGCCUUCGGGUUGUAAACUCCUUUCGCUAGGGACGAAGCUUUGUUGUGACGGUACCUAGAUAAGAAGCACCGGCUAACUACGUGCCAGCAGCCGCGGUAAUACGUAGGGUGCGAGCGUUGUCCGGAAUUACUGGGCGUAAAGGGCUCGUAGGUGGUUUGUCGCGUCGUCUGUGAAAUUCUGGGGCUUAACUCCGGGCGUGCAGGCGAUACGGGCAUAACUUGAGUGCUGUAGGGGUAACUGGUAUUCCUGG